rnacentral:ncRNA from 1 species
GUUUUAAAACGGUAAUGGAGGCGCGCAAAGGUUUCCUCGAGUCACGCUAAGAUUGGCCCUCGAACGCAAAGGCAAAAGGGAGCUUGACUGCAAGACCCACCCGUUGAGUAGGGGACGAAAGUCAGUCUUAGUGAUACGAUGGUGUUGGGUGGAAGGGCCGUCGCUCAAC